rnacentral:rRNA from 1 species
GAUCAUGGCUCAGAGUGAACGCUGGCGGUAGGCCUAACACAUGCAAGUCGAACGGCAGCACAGAGGAGCUUGCUCCUUGGGUGGCGAGUGGCGGACGGGUGAGGAAUACAUCGGAAUCUACUCUGUCGUGGGGGGAUAACGUAGGGAAACUUACGCUAAUACCGCAUACGACCUACGGGUGAAAGCAGGGGAGUCUUCGGACCUUGCGCGAUUGAAUGAGCCGAUGUCGGAUUAGCUAGUUGGG